rnacentral:rRNA from 1 species
AUACGUAGGUGACAAGCGUUAUCCGGAUUUACUGGGCGUAAAGGGCGUGUAGGCGGUCUUGCAAGUCAGAAGUGAAAUUCCUGAGCUCAACUCGGGCGCUGCUUCUGAAACUGCAGGACUUGAGUGCUGGAGGGGAUAGCGGAAUUCCUAGUGGAGCGGUAAAAUGCGCAGAUAUUAGGAAGAACACCGGUGGCGAAGGCGGCUAUCUGGACAGUACCUGACGCUGAGGCGCGAAAGCGUGGGGAGCAAACAGGAUUAGAUACCCUGGUAGUCCACGCUGUAAACGAUGAAUACUAGGUGUAGGGGGUAUCGACUCCCUCUGUGCCGCAGUUAACACAAUAAGUAUUCCGCCUGGGGAGUACGGCCGCAAGGUUGAAACUCAAAUGAAUUGACGGGG